GGGUUGUGAGGUUAAGCGACUAAGCGUACACGGUGGAUGCCUAGGCAGUCAGAGGCGAUGAAGGGCGUGCUAAUCUGCGAAAAGCGUCGGUAAGCUGAUAUGAAGCGUUAUAACCGACGAUACCCGAAUGGGGAAACCCAGUGCAAUACGUUGCACUAUCGUUAGAUGAAUACAUAGUCUAACGAGGCGAACCGGGGGAACUGAAACAUCUAAGUACCCCGAGGAAAAGAAAUCAACCGAGAUUCCCCCAGUAGCGGCGAGCGAACGGGGAGGAGCCCAGAGUCUGAAUCAGUUUGUGUGUUAGUGGAAGCGUCUGGAAAGUCGCACGGUACAGGGUGAUAGUCCCGUACACCAAAAUGCACAGGCUGUGAACUCGAUGAGUAGGGCGGGACACGUGACAUCCUGUCUGAAUAUGGGGGGACCAUCCUCCAAGGCUAAAUACUCCUGACUGACCGAUAGUGAACCAGUACCGUGAGGGAAAGGCGAAAAGAACCCCGGCGAGGGGAGUGAAAUAGAACCUGAAACCGUGUACGUACAAGCAGUGGGAGCACCUUCGUGGUGUGACUGCGUACCUUUUGUAUAAUGGGUCAGCGACUUAUAUUUUGUAGCAAGGUUAACCGAAUAGGGGAGCCGUAGGGAAACCGAGUCUUAACUGGGCGUCUAGUUGCAAGGUAUAGACCCGAAACCCGGUGAUCUAGCCAUGGGCAGGUUGAAGGUUGGGUAACACUAACUGGAGGACCGAACCGACUAAUGUUGAAAAAUUAGCGGAUGACUUGUGGCUGGGGGUGAAAGGCCAAUCAAACCGGGAGAUAGCUGGUUCUCCCCGAAAGCUAUUUAGGUAGCGCCUCGUGAACUCAUCUUCGGGGGUAGAGCACUGUUUCGGCUAGGGGGCCAUCCCGGCUUACCAAACCGAUGCAAACUCCGAAUACCGAAGAAUGUUAUCACGGGAGACACACGGCGGGUGCUAACGUCCGUCGUGAAGAGGGAAACAACCCAGACCGCCAGCUAAGGUCCCAAAGUCAUGGUUAAGUGGGAAACGAUGUGGGAAGGCACAGACAGCCAGGAUGUUGGCUUAGAAGCAGCCAUCAUUUAAAGAAAGCGUAAUAGCUCACUGGUCGAGUCGGCCUGCGCGGAAGAUGUAACGGGGCUAAACCAUGCACCGAAGCUGCGGCAGCGACACUUAGGUGUUGUUGGGUAGGGGAGCGUUCUGUAAGCCGUUGAAGGUGACCUGUGAGGGUUGCUGGAGGUAUCAGAAGUGCGAAUGCUGACAUAAGUAACGAUAAUGCGGGUGAAAAACCCGCACGCCGGAAGACCAAGGGUUCCUGUCCAACGUUAAUCGGGGCAGGGUGAGUCGACCCCUAAGGCGAGGCUGAAAAGCGUAGUCGAUGGGAAACAGGUUAAUAUUCCUGUACUUGGUGUUACUGCGAAGGGGGGACGGAGAAGGCUAGGCUGGCCGGGCGACGGUUGUCCCGGUUUAAGCGUGUAGGGGGAGUGACCAGGUAAAUCCGGUUGCUUAUCAACCCUGAGGCGUGAUGACGAUGCACUACGGUGCAGAAGCAGUUGAUGCCAUGCUUCCAGGAAAAGCCUCUAAGCAUCAGGUAACACUAAAUCGUACCCCAAACCGACACAGGUGGUCAGGUAGAGAAUACUCAGGCGCUUGAGAGAACUCGGGUGAAGGAACUAGGCAAAAUGGUGCCGUAACUUCGGGAGAAGGCACGCUGGCGUUAGGUGAAAGGACUAGCUCCUGGAGCUGAAGCCAGUCGCAGAUACCAGCUGGCUGCAACUGUUUAAUAAAAACACAGCACUGUGCAAACACGAAAGUGGACGUAUACGGUGUGACGCCUGCCCGGUGCUGGAAGGUUAAUUGAUGGGGUCAGCCGCAAGGCGAAGCUCUUGAUCGAAGCCCCAGUAAACGGCGGCCGUAACUAUAACGGUCCUAAGGUAGCGAAAUUCCUUGUCGGGUAAGUUCCGACCUGCACGAAUGGCGUAAUGAUGGCCAGGCUGUCUCCACCCGAGACUCAGUGAAAUUGAACUCGCUGUGAAGAUGCAGUGUACCCGCGGCAAGACGGAAAGACCCCGUGAACCUUUACUAUAGCUUGACACUGAACAUUGAGCCUUGAUGUGUAGGAUAGGUGGGAGGCCUUGAAGUGUGGACGCCAGUCUGCAUGGAGCCAACCUUGAAAUACCACCCUUUAAUGUUUGAUGUUCUAACUCGGCCCCAUAAUCUGGGGUGAGGACAGUGUCUGGUGGGUAGUUUGACUGGGGCGGUCUCCUCCCAAAGAGUAACGGAGGAGCACGAAGGUUAGCUAAUCACGGUCGGACAUCGUGAGGUUAGUGCAAAGGCAUAAGCUAGCUUGACUGCGAGAGUGACGGCUCGAGCAGGUACGAAAGUAGGUCUUAGUGAUCCGGUGGUUCUGAAUGGAAGGGCCAUCGCUCAACGGAUAAAAGGUACUCCGGGGAUAACAGGCUGAUACCGCCCAAGAGUUCAUAUCGACGGCGGUGUUUGGCACCUCGAUGUCGGCUCAUCACAUCCUGGGGCUGAAGUAGGUCCCAAGGGUAUGGCUGUUCGCCAUUUAAAGUGGUACGCGAGCUGGGUUUAGAACGUCGUGAGACAGUUCGGUCCCUAUCUGCCGUGGGCGUUGGAAGAUUGAGAGGGGCUGCUCCUAGUACGAGAGGACCGGAGUGGACGAAUCACUGGUGUUCGGGUUGUCAUGCCAAUGGCAUUGCCCGGUAGCUAAAUUCGGAAGAGAUAACCGCUGAAAGCAUCUAAGCGGGAAACUUGCCUCGAGAUGAGUCUUCCCUGGGGCUUUAAGCCCCCUGAAGGAACGUUAAAGACUAUGACGUUGAUAGGCUGGGUGUGUAAGUGCAGCGAUGUAUUGAGCUAACCAGUACUAAUGAUCCGUGAGGCUUAACCUUACAACACCGAAGGUGUUU
rnacentral:rRNA from 1 species